GGGGGGACGGGAAUUUCUGGUGUAGCGGGGAAAUGGGCAGAUAUUCAGGAGGAACACCGGGGGCGAAGGGGGGUCUUUGGGCAGUAAAUGACGGUGAGGAGGGGAAAGCAUGGGUAGCGAACAGGAUUAGAUACCCUGGUAGUCCACACUGUAAACGAUGAAUGCUAGGUGUAGGUGGUAUCGACCCCAUCUGUGCCGCAGUAAACACAAUAAGCAUUCCGCCUGGGGAGUACGGCCGCAAGGUUGAAACUCAAAGAAAUUGACGGGGGCCCGCACAAGCAGCGGAGCAUGUGGUUUAAUUCGAAGCAACGCGAAGAACCUUACCAGGUCUUGACAUCCAGUAAAAGCCAGAGAGAUUUGGUGUGCCUUCGGGCAUACUGAGACAGGUGGUGCAUGGUUGUCGUCAGCUCGUGUCGUGAGAUGUUGGGUUAAGUCCCGCAACGAGCGCAACCCCUAUUAUUAGUUACUAACAAGUAAAGUUGAGGACUCUAUUGGGACUGCCGUGGACAACACGGAGGAAGGUGGGGACGACGUCAAAUCAUCAUGCCCCUUAUGACCUGGGCUACACACGUGCUACAAUGGUCGCAACAAAGAGGAGCAAAACCGUAAGGUAGAGCAGAUCUCAAAAACGCGAUCUCAGUUCGGAUUGUGGGCUGCAACCCGCCCACAUGAAGUAGGAGUUGCUAGUAAUCGCGAAUCAGCAUGUCGCGGUGAAUACGUUCCCGGGCCUUGUACUCACCGCCCGUCA
rnacentral:rRNA from 1 species